UUCCCUGCCACACCUGCAAUUCUGUACACCAGAACACAGGCAUCAGAAUCACCUAGAGUGGCUGGUAAAAAUGAAGGCUCUUAUGCCCCACCCCUAAUUCAGUGGAUUAUAAGGGAUGCUUCAUUCACUGCAGAGAUAACACCCUGAAUAUGAACGUGAUUAACAGUGAUGAUUUGGUAAGAGGCAAUGCUUCGUGCACUUAGGAAUCUGAAGAACACUUUAAUACUUUCGGCCGGGCGCGGUGGCUCACGCCUGUAAUCCCAGCACUUUGGGAGGCCAAGGCGGGAGCAUCACAAUGUCAGGAGAUCAAGACCAUCCUGGCCAACACAGUGAAACCCUGUCUCUACUAAAAAUACAAAAAAUUAGCUGGGCGUGGUGGCAGGCGCCUGUAGUCCCAGCUACUCGGGAGGCUGAGGCAGGAGAAUGGCGUGAACCCGGAAGGCGGAGCUUGCAGUGAGCCGAGAUGGCGCCACGGUAGUCCAGCCUGAGCGACAGAGCGAGACUCUGUCUCAAAAAAAACUUUCAAGGGCCCAGAGUAGAGACCUGCGUCUCACAAGCUGACAUCUCUUGUUCCAGCCUUUAAUCUCCAAGGUUUUCCUCCCAGACUCUACUUAACUAGGUCUGUGGAAAGAAGUCCCCAGUGCCCUGGUGAAAGCAGAGAGGUUAGACCAGUCAGGAAAAGGGAAACUAAUGUUGGAUUUCUUCAGAUGGUUGACAGCAGCAUUUUUGAAAGCUGUCGGUGUCUUCACCGGGUUGAGGAUUGGAGACUGAGCCUGGACUGUCUCGGAGCAACCACUUGAUUCUCUUUGAAGAUGUGAUUUCACCUCAGAAGACACCUUGACUGCCAUAACAUGGAGAGUUGUAAAAGGGUGAAGCAAAAAAAAAAAAAAAAGCCUUAUCGGGCAGGUCAUAAAUGUCCAAUUCUCUCUAAGGGAGGCAAGUAUUGUCCUUAGGAAUAUUUACUUUAUGAAACUGUAGGCAGCAGAGAAGUGGUUUGAAUCAGAUCAUUCUUAAGGUUUAUUCCUCAAAAGUCAAACAUGAUUUCAGUUUGGGGUCAUCCACCAAGCAUGAAGGUUGUGGAUAACAGUAUUAUUAAUAUUCCAUAAAUUCUUUAUACAGUACUCAGUGGAAAAUCAUCAUUUGUAAUAUUUAUCUGGUGCUUGAAUGAGAACAUGUGAUAAUAUGACAAUUCAAUUUUCUACUUUGACAUUUCAAAUAUGACCAAGUCAUGAUAAUCAAUCAGUAAUACGUUUAUCAUCCACAUGAAGCCAAUUAUGCACCAAUAAUCAGUGAAAUUUUGAACUUGUAACCUAGACCUGUGUGCAGUAACCGACAGUGAAGGUGGAGACAUUUGCUGUAAUUGUGCUGUUAUUGCUUCUAACAAAAUGUUUUAUACCCGAAAGGGCAGGCAGCGCUUUUAAACCCUCCAUUCCAGUCUGGCUCUUUAUUACAAAUUGCCUUUUGAAUCAUAAGCUCUUUAGAAGGGCAAUGUGAGGUGCAGUCAUAGAAGAUGGCAUGAGUCCAUGACUCUGGAGUCGACUAGACUCUGGUUCAAAUCCUGGCUCUGCAGUUAUUAAGCAAGUAACCUUGAGCAAGAGAUUUAAGCUCUCUAAGCCUCAGUUUCUCCACCUAUAAGGGGGGGAUGGUCAUAACUACCUUGCGGGGCUACGGAAAGGUUCACCGUCAUGUAGGGCACAUGGUGCACAAUAAACAGUAACUAUCAUAACCAAAAGAAUGUAACCAAAGCUUAAAAACUAAGAUCAUGUUUUUAAAAGAAUAAUUUUUAAACUUCUUAUCUAGGCUGGGCACAGUGACUCACACCUGUAAUCCCAGCACUUUGGGAGGCCAAGGCAGGCAGAUCACCUGAGGUCAGGCGCUUGAGACCAGCCUAGCCAACAUGGUGAAACCCCAUCUCUACUAAAAAUACAAAAACUAGCCGGGCAUGGUGAUGGGCACCUAUAAUCCCAGCUACUCGGGAGGCUGAGGCAG
rnacentral:lncRNA from 10 species